rnacentral:rRNA from 1 species
UUUCCGCAAUGGGCGAAAGCCUGACGGAGCAAUGCCGCGUGGAGGUAAAAGGCCUACGGGUCAUGAACUUCUUUUCCUGGAGAAGAAACAAUGACGGUAUCCGGGGAAUAAGCAUCGGCUAACUCUGUGCCAGCAGCCGCGGUAAGACAGAGGAUGCAAGCGUUAUCCGGAAUGAUUGGGCGUAAAGCGUCUGUAGGUGGCUUUUUAAGUUCGCCGUCAAAUCCCAGGGCUCAACCCUGGACAGGUGGUGAAAACUACUAAGCUAGAGUACGGUAGGGGCAGAGGGAAUUUCCGGUGGAGCGAUGAAAUGCGUAGAGAUCGGAAGGAACACCAAUGGCGAAAGCACUCUGCUGGGCCGACACUGACACUGAGAGACUAAAGCUAGGGGAGCGAAUGGGAUUAGAGACCCCAGUAGUCCUAGCCGUAAACGAUGGAUACUAGGCGGCUGUGCGUAUCGACCCGUGCAAUGCUGUAGCUAACGCGUUAAGUAUCCCGCCUGGGGAGUACGUU